UGGGGAAUUUUGGACAAUGGGCGCAAGCCUGAUCCAGCCAUGCCGCGUGCGGGAAGAAGGCCUUCGGGUUGUAAACCGCUUUUGUCAGGGAAGAAAUCUUCUGAGUUAAUACCUCGGGAGGAUGACGGUACCUGAAGAAUAAGCACCGGCUAACUACGUGCCAGCAGCCGCGGUAAUACGUAGGGUGCAAGCGUUAAUCGGAAUUACUGGGCGUAAAGCGUGCGCAGGCGGUUUUGUAAGACAGAGGUGAAAUCCCCGGGCUCAACCUGGGAACUGCCUUUGUGACUGCAAGGCUUGAGUGCGGCAGAGGGGGAUGGAAUUCCGCGUGUAGCAGUGAAAUGCGUAGAUAUGCGGAGGAACACCGAUGGCGAAGGCAAUCCCCUGGGCCUGCACUGACGCUCAUGCACGAAAGCGUGGGGAGCAAACAGGAUUAGAUACCCUGGUAGUCCACGCCCUAAACGAUGUCAACUGGUUGUUGGGAAGGUUCCUUCUCAGUAACGUAGCUAACGCGUGAAGUUGACCGCCUGGGGAGUACGGCCGCAAGGUUGAAACUU
rnacentral:rRNA from 1 species